rnacentral:tRNA from 1 species
GACUUAAAAUCCGUUGGCUUUAUAGACCGUGAG